rnacentral:rRNA from 1 species
GGAAAAGAAACUAACAAGGAUUCCCCUAGUAACGGCGAGUGAAGAGGGAAAAGCCCAAGAUUGAAAGCUGGCGUCUUCGGCGUCCGCAUUGUAAUCUCAAGAAGUGUUUUCCGCUUCGGACCAAGCCUAAGUUUCCUGGAAAGGAGCAUCGUAGAGGGUGAAAAUCCCGUACAUGGUUUGGAGCGCCCGGAGCUUUGUGAUACAUUUUCUAAGAGUCGAGUUGUUUGGGAAUGCAGCUCAAAAUGGGUGGUAAAUGCCAUCUAAGGCUAAAUAUUGGGGAGAGACCGAUAGCGAACAAGUACAGUGAUGGAAAGAUGAAAAGAACUUUGAAAAGAGAGUUAAACAGUACGUGAAAUUGCCAAAAGGGAAGGGUAGGAGGUCAGAGAUGGGGCCUGGGAUUCAGCCUUGCUUUUGCUCGGUGUAUUUCCCAAGUCGCAGGCCAACGUCGGUUUUGGACACUGGAGAAGGGUAAGAGGAAUGUGGCACUCUUCGGAGUGUGUUAUAGCCUCUUACUGGAUGCAGCGGCCGAGACCGAGGAACGCAGCGUACUCGUAAGAGCGGGCCUUCGGGCACCUUUACGCUUAGGGCGUUGGCAUAAUGGCCUUC